rnacentral:rRNA from 1 species
GACGAACGCUGGCGGCGUGCUUAACACAUGCAAGUCGAACGGGAUUUCGUAAACAGAAGCCUCGGUGGAAGAUUACUAAUGAGAGUGGCGAACGGGUGAGUAACGCGUGAGCAACCUGCCUAUGACAGUGGGAUAGCCUCGGGAAACCGGGAUUAAUACCGCAUAAAAUCGUAGAAACACAUGUUUUAACGGUCAAAGAUUUAUCGGUCAUAGAUGGGCUCGCGUCUGAUUAGCUAGUUGGUGAGAUAACAGCCCACCAAGGCGACGAUCAGUAGCCGGUCUGAGAGGAUGAACGGCCACAUUGGAACUGAGACACGGUCCAAACUCCUACGGGAGGCGGCAGUGGGGAAUAUUGCACAAUGGGGGAAACCCUGAUGCAGCGACGCCGCGUGAACGAAGAAGGUAUUCGUAUCGUAAAGUUCUGUCCUAUGGGAAGAUAAUGACAGUACCAUAGAAGAAAGCUCCGGCUAAAUACGUG